CAUGGUGAUCCAAUUGUCAAAGAUACUACUAUUGUCAGGGGGAAUUCUAGAGCUACAAGGAAUUACUGGUUCCCAUUUUUCCUUUGAGCCACAUUCCUGCUGCCUAACAGGAUUAGGUUCACAGCUGAUAGUGGAAGUGUAGCACAAGAUCACGGAAAUCCACUAGUGCUACUUUCUUUUUCCUUACCCGACUCAGCUGCUCUUUUUCUGUACCUGUUGGACACCAACUUUUCUGCUGCUAGUGGAAGCUCAAUCUGUUGCUACAUACAUCCUUCUUGAAGGCAAAAGUAGACAGCAACAAACAAAAAUUAGUUCGUGGAUGCUGAUGCAGGGAUUCUUGUGUGGCCAAACGCUGUUAGUGGUAUUUGACUUGGACUUGUUGGAGCCUUUUUUGCCUAACAGGUUGCCCUUUCUCUCAUGCGUGGAGGCAAACUCUGAGAUGACUGAACGCAAGAGAUUAUGAACUAACUAACAACUGUAAAGACCACUCAAACAAAUAGGGUGAACAAAAGUUAGGCCAAGGUUAAAGGUUUACGGCACACAAAAUAUAGUCCAAUAUCAGCGUUUUCAAAACUUGCUCAGAAUUGCCUGGCGCCUUAUCUGCUCGGUUGCUUGACAUAUUUACACGAUCGAAGCCAACUCCUUGUAGCCGCCCAAAUCAUCAUUGUGACUUGAAUACUUGGGUGGUCACAAGGUUUAUGGAUAUGGAUGAAGCUGUAACCAAUCCAUACAAGAGAGAAAUUUGACAAUGGUCUUCUUGUCUUUCAAAACUGCUAAAACAAGACUGCUACAAGAAAACCCGGGCACCAAAUGAGUUGGUCCUGUUAAUGGCCUGACUGCAACAGCUUACAAAAGCCAAAUGAUGUAAAAACUCAUGAGGUUCUUUAAACUUGAUAUAUUUACUCCCCACAUCAGGGCAUUCCCAGUAAUUUAAUUCAAAGACAUCCAGACUCCAGUCUAUCACAGGCCAUAGGAGGAGCUCAUUGCCACAUAAUACCAACAGGAUUGUUGGGUGGCCUGCAGCUGAAGAAGCUUCAACACAGGACAAAUCAUCCAACAGAAAAUAUUGAAUCCAGUACAAUUGUAUCACUGCCGGGAAUCAUGUUGGCGUGACAAUGUCGUACAACCUUAUCAAAAUUAAUCAACAUGCAAGAAGCCAGAGGUAAAGAUAGUUGUGCAAGAAUAGAGAAGGAUUGAGGCGGGGGCAUGGCACGUCUGAGAGAAGCACAGUGAGAGGAGGAACAGAGGCAGGGGAUACAGUGGCGCAUGGAGGUGGUCUGUCGAAAGAGUUCCAUGAAGAGCAGGAGCAUAGUGGUGCAGGGAGUUGUUGGUUGGGGGGGGGGGUGAGGGGAUAGAUUGAGCAGGGUAAGAAUGGAUAGGUGACCAGAACAGCUGGUGAAGUAAGCAAAGACAGGAAGGAAAUGAGCUGGAACCUUCUUAGAAGUGGGAAGCGGGAGGGAUUCAGUGGGGCAGGGAGCAUGAUGAGAAUGUCUGAUCCAGGGGAGAAAGGUGAACCAUGAGGGGGUGUCUGAGCAGAGAGAUUGAUAUGGGAUGAGCAAUUUAGGUGAGAAAGGCGUGAAAUAGGAGGUUCCACUAUUAUCCAGGGUGGUUACGUGAAUUUGUUUUUUCUGUUUGGCAGGAGACUGACUAUAUUUUAACUGAGACUAUGGCAGCAACAUCUGGCAUUGGAAAAAGAACAACAGCAUUGGGCAGCUCAUGAAAAGGAACACAAAUAUCACGGAGUACAGAAUUACAGCAUCAUGUAGUUUUCCAAGCAAUAUUUACAGAACUAAAUGUAAGAUCUUUAGCCAAUUUCAUGCUCCAGGGCAUCAUUCAAGGGAAAGAAAGAUGUCUUGCAUCCACAUGUUUGUUGACACAAGUGAUACUCAGUUGAUAGCAUGACUAGUGUGAGAAGUUACAAUGUCUCAUUGUCAGUAAGGCAAGCAACUCAACUGACAGUUAUUUUCAUUUAGAAAUUACUUCUUUAGCAACUUACAUUACAAAAGAAUAUAUAGCAGUAAAGUGUCAUCAUUAACGCCUCAGAAAAAUGUUGUUUUCCCUUGUAUUUGUGUUUUUGGUGGCAUUAGUUGAUUGGCGCUCCUAUUUCUUGUGGUCAUCUGGACUUUCAAUCUUAUCCCAUUAUAGUUCCAUAUUUUCAAAUGUCGUAGAUGUUACAAUUAAUGUAAUUGUGAUACUUACAAUAAAGCUCAUUGUCCACCGCA